CCGACACAACAGUGAACUUCUUCUUGACGUAUGACCCUUGGUUAUGAUCCUGCCGUAACCAUGGAGCAUCCUCAUUGUUUAAUAGAAUGCUUGGGUCUUUUUUGACUAUGAAGGGCGGAAUUCGAUCAUCUCUUUCGUAAUCGCCUAACAUGUCUGACUUGUCCUCAAUUCCGACAAUGUUUCUUUUCCCAAAAAGGACAAUGUGGCGCUUUGGCUCAUUGAUGAUUUAGUGGUCAUCAUUUUUUCCUCUCUUUGGUUUCAUAGACAUAUCUUUGACAUAGAACACCUGACUCAUGUCUGCAGCAAGGACGAAUGGUUUGUCUUUGAACCCACUAUUGUUAAGGUCCACG
rnacentral:lncRNA from 1 species